rnacentral:rRNA from 1 species
GAUGAACGCUGGCGGCGUGCCUAAUACAUGCAAGUCGAGCGAACAGACGAGGAGCUUGCUCCUCUGACGUUAGCGGCGGACGGGUGAGUAACACGUGGAUAACCUACCUAUAAGACUGGGAUAACUUCGGGAAACCGGAGCUAAUACCGGAUAAUAUAUUGAACCGCAUGGUUCAAUAGUGAAAGACGGUUUUGCGGUCACUUAUAGAUGGAUCCGCGCCGCAUUAGCUAGUUGGUAAGGUAAAGGCUUACCAAGGCAACGAUGCGUAGCCGACCUGAGAGGGUGAUCGGCCACACUGGAACUGAGACACGGUCCAGACUCCUACGGGAGGCAGCAGUAGGGAAUCUUCCGCAAUGGGCGAAAGCCUGACGGAGCAACGCCGCGUGAGUGAUGAAGGUCUUCGGAUCGUAAAACUCUGUUAUUAGGGAAGAACAAAUGUGUAAGUAACUAGGCACGUCUUGACGGUACCUAAUCAGAAAGCCACGGCUAACUACGUG